CGGAGGCCAUUGCUAUUGGGAUCCGAUUUAGCCAUGCUAGUCGUACGAGUUCACACUCGUGGCGAAUAGCUCAGUAACACGUGGCCAAACUACCCUUCGGAGCGCAAUACCCUCGGGAAACUGAGGCUAAUAGCGCAUACCAUACCACCACUGGAAUGAGUGGUAUGCCAAACGCUCCGGCGCCGAAGGAUGUGGCUGCGGCCGAUUAGGUAGACGGUGGGGUAACGGCCCACCGUGCCAAUAAUCGGUAUGGGUCAUGAGAGUGAGAACCCAGAGACGGAAUCUGAGACAAGAUUCCGGGCCCU
rnacentral:rRNA from 2 species